rnacentral:rRNA from 1 species
AUUGAACGCUGGCGGCAGGCCUAACACAUGCAAGUCGAGCGCGCCGCGCACGGGUGAGUCAUGUAUGUGGCUUUGCUCGAUAGAUGGGGAUACCUCCUGGAAACGGUGGCUAAUCCCGCAUACUAUCCGAUGAUCCCAUAUGGCAUUAGCUAGUAGGUGGGGUAAAGGCUCACCUCGGCGACGAUCCCUAGUUGGUCUGAGAGGGUGACCGGCCACACUGGAACUGAGACACGGUCCAGACUCCUACGGGAGGCAGCAGUGGGGAAUAUUGCACAAUGGGCGAAAGCCGGAUGCAGCCAUGCCGCGUGUGUGAAGAAGGCCUUCGGGUUGUAAAGCACUGUCAUCGAGGAGGCGUUACUCGCAGAAAAAGCACCGGCUAACUACGUGCCAGCAGCCGCGGUAAUAC